UACGUAGGGGGCUAGCGUUGUCCGGAUUUAUUGGGCGUAAAGAGCGUGUAGGCGGCCAGGUAGGUCUGCUGUGAAAACUCGAGGCUCAACCUCGAGACGUCGGCGGAAACCAUCUGGCUAGAGUCCGGAAGAGGAGAGUGGAAUUCCUGGUGUAGCGGUGAAAUGCGCAGAUAUCAGGAAGAACACCGAUGGCGAAGGCAGCUCUCUGGGACGGUAAUGACGCUGAGACGCGAAAGCGUGGGGAGCGAACAGG
rnacentral:rRNA from 1 species